rnacentral:lncRNA from 1 species
UUAUGAGUCAUCAAAUGAAAAUUUAGGAAGAAUUAUAGGUAGCAUUAUUUAUACGUUUUCUCAUCAUAUAAAACUUGCUGUAACUUUUGAAUUACUUAAAUCACUUUGAAAUAUUUUUUCCUUUUUGAAACAAAAAAGUGACUUUUCCAGGUAUGUAAAUUCUUAAUUAUUUAACCACUUAUCCUUUUAUGCUUUAUUGUUUUUAGUCCUACCUCUUCUGGGAAGAUACAUUUUUCCUUAGCAGUGGCUUUAUGUUUAUAGAAAGCAAUAAUAACGGCCAGGCGCAGUGGCUCCUGCCUGUAAU